AAAAUAAUUACGCCUGCAAUCAAGUUACUGCGAAAACCUAUUUGAUUAGCGGCCACACUUUACUCAAAUUGCAGCUAUAAAAUUAAGAACAAUUCGCCUGUAAUGAUUAUGGCCUGGAUUUAUUUUGGGAGGGUGGAAUAAAAGUGGAUAUAGCAUAAAUUAUCCCCUAAUUAUACGCCAGUGUCGCCUCAAUUAUCCUCUUAUCAAAAAUGGUUGUCUAAACGCAGCGUUUAGUUUCAAUUUUCUCCUUUUCUGUAACAAGAACUUGGUACCUUGCUAUUAUCGUCAGGCUACGGUUGUUAUUUACUUUGUGGGAUUUAAAAAGUGCACACAACUCAGCCGGAUAAUCAUUUUACAGCAGCGGGCAGAGAGAGGAGCACAGAAGCAGGGGAUGUGAGGCACAGGACAUCCACGUGGAUCUAUUUUAUCUCUCCAGAUUCCUCUUGGUUAUUUUAAAUCUCUUUCAAAAAAUCUCUUCUGCUUCUUUGUCUCCAGGAAAGCUGCAGGUAGGAGUUUUUUUUUUUUUUUUUGAGGCUCUUCUAACUUCAUUGACAUUGAUGGAUGGUUCCAUUCCUUCUGAUUUCUCUGCUUUUUUUUUACGCACACAUAUUGCGCGCCCAUGCAGACCUCGCAGGGAGCACCUUUGGUCACCCCUCAGUGAUCCAACACAGUGGCCAAUUCCCCUGCCCGUGUUCCACUUGGACACGCAGAGCAGAAACCAGAUCCUUUACCUUUUCUAAUCGCCUUUGAGUGCUGCCUCAAAGACAUACAUGCUCUGCUCCCUGCGGGCAAAAGAAAAAAAAAAUCUCUUGGUUAUAUAGAUUGGAUGAGACAGUGUUUGCAGCGUCAAGAAGUGCGUGUCAGUGUGUGUGUGUGUGUGUGCCACCACAUGAUUAUUAAGUUGCGGGAUGACCAUGCGGGUGUAAUGUCAGAGUCUCGGUGUCCCGCAGGCGUGUUUGGAGGCUUCUCUGUGAACACUGAGAUUAAGUGGAGUGGUGAAAGGACGGAUUUGUUUGAAUAGAGAGAACAUGACAUAGUCGACCUUGGUGCUUUUGAAAUGCUUAACAUGUAGCAUGAAAGUUGACAAGCGUGUCUAAUUGAGAGGCCUGUGCAGGAUUUUUUUUAUCAGGGCUGAAUUUCUUCAUCGCCUUACACAACUUCAUAGUUUUUGCAUUCGUGUCCAAGAAUGAUUUUAGAAUUCAGAAACCGAUACGCCUGCUGCGUGUCAUUUCUUGGUGUACUCUGUCCCAUUAGGAGUUCAUAGCCUCAUUCCGAAGAGGGAUUAUUUUAUAUUUCACUUCCCCAAAAUGUCAAUCAGAAGAUGAAACGGCCUUAAAUCCAGAAAUCACUUUUGUCCCUAAGUAGAUGAUUGACCUCCAGCACAAUCAAUGGCCGUGCUGGUUUAACAGAAGUGGUCUUUAUUUCCAGCUGUCUUAUAAACGCUGAUGAAUGACUCUCUAAAAUCACUCCAGGCCUGGGAUUUCCCUGACAUCCACUGUCUGAUCCAGGGAAAGAAAAAAUGAGAAUAUUUAACGUUGAGUUUGGAGGUGUAACCAGGCGUUAUUUUAUGGUUAACACAGUCACAGUCAGUGAAAAUGUCCUCAAGCUAAGAUAGGCAGCGUCAUUGUAAUUGGAAGUACCAUUAGGCCCUUUACGCACAUUUAUUUCUGCACAGAUUUCCAGCAGAAUGGUCAGAAAAGCUGUGAAACCUAACAAGCUCCCCCUCUCUUUUUGCUCUCCUCCUCUUUCUGACUUGUGUGUCACUGGCUGUUUUAACACCGCCCGUCUUUUCUUGUCCAUCCGGCCACAUGUGUUAAUCAUAUCUGAGCGUUAACACGGAGUUCCAGAAAGACACAGGUCAUAAUUGUCGCGAGUGGCUGGGCGUUUGCGGUCGUUUCCCUCUAACAGCUAUUGACUGGCUUGCAUGGAAAGCCACCUCCUCGGCUUCUCGGGGACCCAGGCGGUCGUGGGGGGAAAGCAGAGGCUUGUCACUGCAGAGAAAGAUGGAGAGGCAGUUAAACAACAUGUCUCCCUUCUCCACAAAAGCGCAAAGCCACUGGCGCUGCGCAGACAGCCAGGCGUCGACGGCUCUCCAUCUCUGCUGUGGGAAGCAGAUGCAUGCUACACGCAGCUGUCUGUGAAACAUCCUUGGUUGUAACCAGAGUCAGAAAGAGCAGCAAACACACCCACAGCAGCCAAAGUGAUCACCGAUCAGCCUUUAAUGCUUGAGCAGAAUUCAUCCGUGCACAAAUGGUUGCUUGCGCGCCGCUAUUACGCACAUAAAUUGCGCACGGCGUACUAAUGCAAACCCACUUAUGCAAAAGCUUUGAUGUGUUUAGUAGAAGCGUGCAGCUACACCAAGAAAAAUGAGUGUGGUUUGGUUUAUAAAGAAAACCAUGCGCGCUGCAGGCAGGCGACUGUUUACAAUAAGUUUUGCAUCAGAAAUUAGGAUCGCAUUAUCUCUCCAGUAAAUAGUAAAAUUGGCAUAUGCAUGGCCCCAGGUGCAGGCGAGGGGGGGACUUCAGAUGGACCCAGUGUAGCGUGAUGCUAGUGGAGCUAAAUGACCACAAAUAAGCAAAAGGCCCUGCGCCACUGAGCCUUCACAGCCUCUCACACGCUAAUGGAUUUAAUUUGGCACGGCUCAAGCUGCACUGGUCCCACUCAGGGCCUGGGUCCUAAUUAAGACUGCCUCUCUCUCUCUCUCUCUCUCUCUCUCUCUCUCUCUCUCUCUCUCUCUCUCUCUCUCUCUGUAUAUUCUAGAGACACCCAAAGAUUGCCUUGCGCCUUUUUCUGCACCAUAUUUACAUCAUUAGUUUGACAUUUAUUUCUAAAAUUGUCAAAUUAAACUGAGGCAGACAAAGAGUUUUUGGACGAGUUUCAUGCGUAAAAUCCUAAUCAGAAAGGCAAGGAUAGGGGGCACAGGGUCCUCAGAUUAUGAGCUUAAAUUUAUUUCAUGUUUAGAUGUUUACAGAAAAAAACUGCUUCAUAAAAUUUCGAGAGUUUUGACGUGGACGUACUGUGUCUUAUCUGCAGUUUGAGGCCUAGAGUUAUAGCUUCGCCUCAUUGCUGCAGCUUCCGCCUAUAUGAAAACGCAAAACUAGGACCUUAUACACCGAGUCAAUAAACAAGGAACCACAUCCAAAAAUUGCAUCUGAAAUUUAUGUCAGUAUCAAAUAAGACUAUAAGAGUGCCAGGGCGCGCUUUGGUCCCCUUUUCUUCCCUCUCUCGACUUAAUACGCGACAUUAUUAGGUCUGACAGCACAGUGGUCGGUCUUGAAGGAGAGGAUUUGGUCGAUAGAUGACAGACAGGAAGGCCAGCAAUCAUGGGCUCUUUUUUUAUCAGAAUGUACUGUUCGAUGCCGUUUAUCCCUGAUGAUAGAAAAUUGCUCUGUUGCCAGGACGCUGCCGCCGAAAUAGAGGGCAGGAGCAACAUUUCCAUUUUCUAGUUUGAAAGCCAUUGAAAUGAAUUAGUAAAAAAUGAAAAAAAAGAGGAAAAAUGAGAAAGAAUCCCCUGGUAAACAAAGGGGAGCAAACAAAGAUACCAUUUUCUUUUGCCGAGAAUCCACCCUCCUCAUUUCCCCUGUUUUCUCUCACUCUGUGUGCCUGCCUCUCUCUCCCUUUCUCUCUCUCCCUCUCCCUUCACUGAAGGUUUUACUUCAACAGUUGCAAAUCACAUGCUUGGCUUCUAAUGUAGUCCAAGGCCCGGGCCUACUUCAAAGACAAUCAUUUAUUUCCCAACCUCCCGGAAUAAUUAGAGCGCCUUUUCAUCCGUCGUGACAGAGUAAAAAAAAGGGAGAGAGAGAGAGUGUGAGAGAAAAAUUAAGACAGAAUAGUUGACGACGAGGAGCAUUAAGCAAACUCCUGAAAUGUUUAACCAGCAGGAACAAAUGAACAAAAACCUGUCACAGUGGGAGGAAUGGCGAAAUAUUAGAGGACGACAUUUGGUUCAUAAGAUUUUGGAAAAACUGUGUGUCAAAAGUCCAAUUAGGUUUGGACUCCAUCAUCAUUGUAAAAGCCACAAAUAAAAAUAAAAAACGAUUUAUUUUGUUUUAAUAGACUUUUUUCUAUUAUAAGCCUUUUUAAUUCAUUACAUUUAUUAUUUUUUCUUUUAUAUUCGUAUCGUUGCUCCGAGAAAUCGUCCACGUUAUCACGUCAAACUGAUAAAAUACGCCUUUUCUUGAAAAGAAUUUAACUAAAAUAAGGAAAAAAAUCCGAGUAAAAGCAUUGAAAGAAAAACAGCGGAUUAGAAAAAUCAUUUAAAAAAGAGUAAUUCCAGGAUGAAUGAUAUUUUCUCCCCUUAGCGGGGAUUUUUCGUUAAGUGAUAUAAUUAGGUGUAAUCUGGGGAUUAUCUAUCAGCGGCACAGACAAGUCCUGCGGUGAAAAGGCCUCAUCAGUCUACAAGAGGGGGCGACUGUCUGUGUCCGAGCGGGCAGGUGCUUUUAAAGCCUCCACAGGCACUGAACGCGCCUCCAGCGCGCGCCAUACGCUGCGUGGAGCCAGAUAGAUGGAAACAUAACAGCCGAAGCACUGGAUUAAGAUGAAGCUUUAAGACAAGAUCUAAUAAUGUGUGGAGGACACGGAAGGUAUGACUUCAACAGUGAAACUCCUUACAGGAGGCCGUAACAAAGGAACCAUAAUUGCAGGACUAUUAUGGUUAAAUUAGCUGAAUUCGUAAUGAGGUUUGGUGCGUAAAAACAACCAAACUCAUUUUACAAACACAAAGCAUUAAAUUAUGUGUCUACUGAAUUAUCCAAAUUGGGCUACACAAUAUAAUAAACAUUUCUGGUAAUAUUACAGACAAAAAAAAUCAGUUUAAUUUUUAACCAGCUUUAUUCUUUAGGACUGUAUAACUGAUGUAAACAUGCUUUUAUUGGAUAAGCUUGACUACACGUGUGAAGUAUGAACUUUAUAGGAUAAUAAUGACAGUGAGGCUUCAAAUUUGGAACAUAUGCUGGACAAAUAAAGUCAAUAAUGAGCAAAUAAAAGUCUUUGUUAAAAGACUCAUCUGCAAAUGCAACCAGAUGAUGAACCUCAUAGAAGAGAAAUAAAUCCUGAGAAAGCGUAAUGCAUUCACCGAGGGGCUUUAAAUUAAUGGAAGAGUGAUCUGAGCUUCAAAGUCUCAUCAAACUUUUUAAUGAGUCCAAACCAGACAGUGAAGAUACAAAAAGAUCCAGUUUAUUUUGUCAAAUCAAACGCUCUCCAUGCACACAGCACAAACGAAUAAGAAAAACAGUGUGUGCUCCUCUAACAGGAGAGUCCUGGCUCUCAUAGUGAAAGCCCCAAUGGAGGAAGUGCUGCACACAAUAGCCGACACUGACUGUGGAAUAAAGGAGUUUGAAAUUUAAGAGCAUGGUGUGAAGUGAAGUGGAAAAAAAAGGGUGAGGAGAAAAGGAAUCACACCUGGUGAGAUGUGGUGAGGUGGGCGAGAUGCUGCUCGGGUUCUCAGGAACUGGGAGUCGCAGGAGUUUGUCAGGUGAUAUCUGUGGACCUUUGUCUGCUCAACAUUUGGACACUCCUACCUGAAACUGCUUGCUUCAUGUUCUCUUUAGUCACAGGUUUGCACACAGAAAGAACUUGGUGUUAUUUUUGCAAACAGCAGAUGCCUACAACCCGAAAAAAACCUGAAAUUAAAAUACUGUUCUCUUUUGCAUUAGAGAAAAUGGCAAAUGUCUGAUUAUUGAAGGUACAAAUAUGACCUCUGAUAACAUAUCAGACGUUAUUAUGAAGAUGAUUUAACAAUUAAUCAUAAAGAUAAUGCUUAAGGAUUAUGCAUAAAAUACAGAAAGCAAAGAAAAAAAAAUUAGCAUAAAAAAAAAACCCCUGUAAGUUUGGACCCAAAAAAUCUGGUAUAGCCUGUUGCAUCAUCAAUACCAUCAAUUUUUCUAUUUGUAUUGCGGUUAUUUCAUUUCUAUGUAUUAUGAUUAUAAUUUGGUCCAUAACAUCUUUUUUGGGUGGCUUAAUUGCUGUGAUUAAUGGAAUUCAUCACGUCUUUCAAGUCUUAAAAUCCUGUUAAGGCUCUUGAAUAGCAGCUUAAAACCAUCAUGUAAAAUAACCAAAAUUCAGAACAUGAAAUAUUCAGGUCCUAGUAAGUGGAUUUUAGAGCAAAACAAUGUUUGAAGUCAAAAAAGCCCAAUAAUUUCUGCAAAAACCACCAAUCACUGUGUAUUAAAAUGAAAACCCCCACAGUGCUUUUGUGUAUGUAAAAAAUAUUAUGUGCAGAACAUAUUGUGCAGAUUUUAAACCUAAAAUAAUCAUGGAUGUUGCAUUGUUACACCAUUAUAGAAGAUGUAGAAUUGGCCUCACAGUUUUCAGUUAUUUGGAAGGAUUAUUUAAUAUUUUAUUGUCAAAAUUAACAACUUUAAGUAUAGUUUCUCUAGUUACCUUCAGCUGCACUUAGAUUUUCAUUUCUGAUCUAAAAAGGCAGCAUUCAGUAGUCAACCCUAACCAUAUAUAACCAUCACUCAGGCCUCAAAUACAAAUGAAAUAUCAGCCUUUAAAUCCUCAAUGCACGCUGGUCUCCAGUGUUCUCAGAGUUAACCCAGCACAGAUCACAGAUCAGUUUAAUGAUUUGGCCAAAAGAUCAAAUCUGCAGCCAGCCUCAUCAUAUCCCAGUUAUUAAUUAUCUGCCUCUCAGCCUUUAUUUUCAUUUGCUCUGAACUGUCAGAGUGGAGUGGAGACAUUUUUAGGACUUUGUCCAUCCCGCUGAAGUGAAGGUAGCCAAUUAUUGCAUUCAUUGUCCUUGAAAAUGCAUUACGCCUCACCUGAGGGCUCACUCACUCACUGAGACUGAAGGGCCGAUUAACAGAUGACUUCUGACCUUAAUCCAUCGCAAAAAAAUCACCCAAAAGAGCCAGACGGCAAUCAGCCAUUCUCACCCGCUUUAAUGUUUCAAACUUUUCUUAUUGUUGACACCUCACCUUGGGCAGCAGGAGGGCAACUCUCGGUUUGAGACCUUGAACACUGACUUUCAUUUACAGCUGUUUGAAAAUGAGGCCAGAUGAGUGAAUCAAUCACAGCUUUUCCUGGCUGUGGAUGAGUCUGCUUGAUUUUGUUAAAUGAAAAAAUGUGUCAAUUUUAUCAUUGAAAUUAGAGCAAGAACUAGUGGCUCCAGUGAUUCUCUUAUUUCACAUCCACCUGUAAUAUAUACAACAAUUAAAAACACUGCAGUGCAAUAUGAAGCAGAAAACACAGCAAGCAAAAUCCCUAUGUUUAAUGAUGUACGUUAUCAUUUUAACAAUUUAAAACAUCUGCUACUGAAAAUUACAUUGAUUAGAUAAAAGAAACAUUAUAUUACAAUUACAUAUUUAAAGACAGGUGACAAUGAGCUGGGUUAUAGUUAAAAGACACAUGAGUACUCACUUUGUUUUUUCAUGUAUUUUGAUGUAUUUUAGUCGCUUAAUUUUAACUGUGAAACUAUGUUAAAUGGACUGCUGCCUGUUUUGGUCGAGACUCUCAAAUAAAUAGAUUUUUAAUCUUAAUGAAUUUUUCAUCUUGUUAAAUAAAACAGAAAAGCCUAUACCUAUCCUAAUGUUGUGUUAUAAGCAUAACAUACAUUAAUUUAGUGUCGGUUGCGACGCAAAGUAAUAUAAAUGUAUAUAUGUUAACGAGAUAUUAAUCAUUGUAAUUAUUUAAUAACCAUUUAUUUAACAUUUUAUCUGCCUAUAACCACAUAAUGUUACACUUCCAUCAUUUAUUGAUAAUCUAUAAGUGCUGGGGGAACAGCACAGCUCAGUUUGUAAAGCAGGUGACCCAUGUAAAGAAGCAACAGUCUAUGCUGUACUGGUCCAAGGAUCAGAUCCUGGUCCCAGUAUGAACUGAUUCCUUUAACUAGGACAUAUGACGUUUUUGUAAGUUAUGAGCUGAGAUUACUGCUUAUUACUUUAUUGUUAUUGUGCAAUUAAAAUAAACCUGCUCAUAAAUACAUAAUGUAUGUUACAAUCAAUUAGCCAAUAUUUACAUCAGAUUAAACUGCACCGAUGUAUCAAUAUCUAUAUAUAGACUAUAGAUCUAUAGAUCUGUGUAUUUGUAUAUAUAUAUAUAUAUCUGUAUAUAUGUAUGUCUAUAUCAAUAGCUAAAUCCUUAUCUGUAUAUACCUAGAUCGAUAUCUGAAGUAUAACUAACAAUCUCUCACUCUCUCUAAAUUUAUAUAUAUAUAUAUAUAUAUAUAUAUAUAUAUAUAUAUAUAUAUUAGUCACCUGAUAAACAGAAAAAUUUGCUUAUUUCUAUAUUAUGAAAUAACAUCUUGCAUAUCCAUUGGAUUAACAUUUCUACAUCAUUACUUUAUUGCUCAUAAGUGCUUUUCUGGGAUAUGUAUAACUGACAGUAAGAUUGGUGUUCAAAAUUAAAAAUGAAAGAUAAUGGUAAUUCUAAAAAGCUAUGGUACAGGGUCUACAAAGAAAAAAAAAACACAAAAAGAAAGAAAAAGAAAAAAAAGGAAUAGAUAAUUUCAGCACCUUUACAUGUGAAAACCACUGUGGUGUGUGUGUGUGUGUGCAGUUUCACUUCAGUGUAAAGCAGCUCACUGUAGCCUCCAUCAGUCAGUCUACCGUGCGUUAACAUGCGGGUGCAGCCUCCUCACCUGGAGUGAUGAACAUGAGUCAGGCACCAUGUCCCGGUGAAAACCUUUUCAGUGAAUCAUUAAAACCAGGUCUCGGAGAGAGAACAUGAAAUUGAUUUUAAAUACAGAAAAAGGUGAAAUAGAUUUUUUUGUGUGUGAAGAUAAAUGCAGCUGAAUAACUUUUUCUCCCCUCUCUUUGUCUCCAUGUUUCCCCCUCUCUUUCUGGCUUUUCCAUCACACCCACCUUCCUCCCUCCCUCCUUCCCUCCCUCCUCUUGCAUGUCCAGCCGCUGGUCCCCUCUUCUCUCCCCUCUCCUCUCCAUAUUCCUCUUCAUACCCACUCUACCCCUCUCUUCCUCUCCCCCUCAACCUCGCUCCCUCUCCCUAACCCCACACCGUCCCCCCCUACACCCCCUUUUAGGUACGCCUCCAUCCCCUCUUGGCAGCUCCAUCUCCUCCUCCCUCCCUCUCUCUGGUUGGUUUCCACAGCUGUGGUGAGUGAGGGGCAGAUGACCGGAGAAUUGGCCCCUGGGAGAGCGCUGAGCCAUCCUGGUGCUAUUAGGCUCGUGGCUAAUAAUAGGUGUUUCAGACCAGGGGAAGAUCAAUCAGGGGGAAUCAUGGGGAAUGUUUGGAGCAGCGCUUUUUACACAUCGGCCCAGAUGGAUGAAAUUACACUUGUCAGUUUUUAGUUGCAUUACUCCCAAAUUGGUUGUCUACUCUUUUUUUUCUCUCCCUCCCCCUCUUUCUCUCCUUUCUCUCUCUUUGCCCUCAUUCAUGUGUCAGCCGCCCGCUAAAGGGAUUCGACGGUGAAAUCCAUGUCAUUUUUGUCUUUUCUCUGUUUAGCCCUCAGCUAGAAAACUCUCUUAGCCUGCAUAUGCACUUAAAAGAAAUCACUCUGAGAUCUUGUUUUACCGCUCAGGCAAUUUCCAUGUUAGAGGAAAGUGUGCGGCUGACAACAUCCUGCGUUUGUGUGCUCUGCAUGUUUAACAAAACAGUUUGACUGAUUCCAACACUUUAUCUUAAUAAUGGAUUUGUUUUCAAGCCAAGAUACUAAAUGUUCACUUUCUUGCAGCUGUUUGCAUUUGAGGAUUUCUGACACUCUCUGUGUUUUGGUAGAAUAUUAAAAACAAAUAGUUUGAGGAAACUAUACUCUUAAAUAUGUGCAUCUGAGAAACUUGUGUGCACAUCUUUGCAGACAAAAGAAUUCAGAAAGAAAAUAAUCUAUUUUGUAGUAGUUCUGAGAGUAUAAAGGGUUCAGAAAUGAAUGCAAAACAGGAACAAUUCAUUGAAAGUGCAUGUCUUUUUCACAAUUGCACUUUAUUUUUUCCUAACUGUAUGCAAGUACAUCUGCAAGGUGCAUAUAAACCCCCCUAUUGCUGUAAUUUCCUGUUUUUGUUUGAAUAAAAGUCACCAAACCUUA